rnacentral:rRNA from 1 species
GUCCACGCCCUAACGAUGGGUACUAAGUGUCGGCGGGUUACCGCCGGUGCCGCACCUAACGGAGUAAGUACCCGCCUGGGAGUACGGCCGCAAGGUUGAACUCAAAGGAAUUGACGGGGCCCGCACAAGCGGUGGUGCAUGUGGUUCAAUUCGACGCAACGCGAAACCUUACCCAGGCUUGACAUGCUCGUGGUAAGAACCGGAAACGGGGAUGACCCUGAAAGGGGAGCGAGCACAGGUGCUGCAUGGCUGUCGU